rnacentral:tRNA from 1 species
GGGGUUGUGGCUCAGUAGUAGAGUGCUUGCCUAGUAAGUGCAAGGCCCUGAGUUCGAUCCUCAGCACCCACA